CGUAUGAUAGCGCAGCCAGCCCGCGUCGCAUCAGGCCUGACGCCGGCGGCCUGUGUUACAACACAGCGACAAACCUCCUCACCGGUAUUU
rnacentral:ncRNA from 1 species